CCAUUCCGCGGACACAAAUCUUUAGCGUUGGUCAAAUCGGAAGCGAUUAAGUGCCAGCAAGUCCUCUUUGAUACGCAACCUACGGCUCUCUGAGUCCUUGAAAAAGAACCAACUCUGGAACGGGAUUAUAAGUAUAACUUUGUUGGAAGGGAAGAAUGUCUCAGGAGGAAGCAUGACAGAGAUGUUUGUCCAGUUAAAACUGGGAGAUCAGAGGUAUAAAAGUAAGGUUUGGCUGCAGUGGAAUUUCCUAGU
rnacentral:lncRNA from 1 species